AGAGCAAGGAAACAUUUCUCGAUGACAGGGAGAUGCAACCAUCAUACAAACGUCCUGCUGUGGAUAAGAACAAUGAGUCUUUCAUCCACGAUGAAAAUGUGCAACAAGAGAAGGAAAACACCAGUGCAGAUAAGAGCAAGGAAAACUUUCUCUAUGACAUGGAGAUGCAACCAUCAAACAAACG